GAUGAACGCUGGCGGCGUGCCUAAUACAUGCAAGUCGAACGCUUCACUUCUGUGAAGAUUGGCUAACGGGUGAGUAAUACAUAAGUAACCUGGCAUCUACAGGGGGAUAACUUAUGGAAACGUCAGCUAAGACCGCAUAGGUGUAGAGAUCGCAUGCACUCUAUAUGAAAAGUGCUACGGGACUGGUAGAUGGUGGACUUAUGGCGCAUUAGCUUGUUGGUAGGGUAAAGGCCUACCAAGGCGACGAUGCGUAGCCGACCUGAGAGGGUGACCGGCCACACUGGGACUGAGACACGGCCCAGACUCCUACGGGAGGCAGCAGUAGGGAAUUUUCGGCAAUGGGGGAAACCCUGACCGAGCCACGCCGCGUGAAGGAAGAAGUAAUUCGUUAUGUAAACUUCUGUCAUAGAGGAAGAACGGUGGAUAUAGGGAAUGAUAUCCAAGUGACGGUACUCUAUAAGAAAGCAACGGCUAACUACGUG
rnacentral:rRNA from 1 species